CCUACGGGAGGCAGCAGUGGGGGAUAUUGCACAAUGGGGGAAACCCUGAUGCAGCGACGCCGCGUGGGCGAAGAAGUAUUUCGGUAUGUAAAGCCCUAUCAGCAGGGAAGAAGCAAUGCCGUUACUUGAGUCAGAAGCACCGGCUAAAUACGUGCCAGCAGCCGCGGUAAUACGUAGGGUGCAGGCGUUAUCCGGAUUUACUGGGUGUAAAGGGAGCGCAGGCGGCACGGCAAGCCGGGUGUGAAAGCCCGGGGCCCAACCCCGGGACUGCAUUGGGAACUGCCGGGCUGGAGUGUCGGAGAGGUAGGCGGAAUUCCUGGUGUAGCGGUGAAAUGCGUAGAUAUUAGGCGGAACACCAGUGGCGAAGGCGGCCUGCUGGACGGUGACUGACGCUGAGGCUCGAAAGCGUGGGGAGCGAACAGGAUUAGAUACCCCAGUAGUC
rnacentral:rRNA from 1 species